rnacentral:rRNA from 1 species
UACGAGGGGUGCGAGCGUUGUUCGGAAUCACUGGGCGUAAAGGGUUCGUAGGCGGAGGCGCAAGCCAGUCGUUUAAUUCCGGGGCCCAACCCCGGGCUUGCGAUUGGAACUGCGUCUCUUGGAUGGUUCAGGGGCAGGCGGAACUCCCGGUGUAGCGGUGGAAUGCGUAGAUAUCGGGAAGAACACCAAUGGCGAAGGCAGCCUGCUGGGAACACAUCGACGCUGAGGAACGAAAGCGUGGGGAGCAAACAGG